AUUCUCAGAGUUCAUAUCUCGGAGUAUA
rnacentral:snRNA from 1 species